rnacentral:lncRNA from 1 species
CUGUUGAGCAAGAGUGUGAGCGUGUGAUCCCUGUUGACACAGGCUCUACCUGACAGAAGGGGGGGGUUUAUUCCCUUUGUACUUCCAGGUGCUGUAUUCCAGAAGUUGGUGUUGUCAGGAUCCAUCUGUUGGUGGAAUGUCCUGCUCUGGGGCUGCUGGGUUGUCUUGCCUUUGGGAUAACCUUUUUCCCUGCAGUGAAAGGGAUUGCUUUGAGUCUGUGAGUUCUCAGCUCAUGAAGAACUUCCUGGCUGGGGGGAUGAAGACAUUAAAGCCUUUGCCCACUCAGGGCAAUUGCUCUGGAGACAAACACAGCUCAGAAAACAAAUGUUCUGAGCUACCUGGGAGUUCUGGUUCACUGAACACAUGAAGAGCCAGAGAUCCUUCUGAACCUGCAAGUAAAAUUUAUUCUCAAGGUGGCAAAAUGUCUGGAGCCUCAUCUUGAAGAGCCUUGGAAGGGCCAAAAAGGUUCUUCCUUUUCCAGGUCACUGCCAGGUUUUAGAAGACACAGUUUUUCAGCAUCUGAAGCAGGAAAUCCCAGCUCUUUUCCAUGAGAAGAAGCACAGGGAUGACAGGGCUUCCCCCCAGAACACUCCCGGGGUAAUUGCUGAAGACAUUCCAAGCCACUCUAACGAAGUGCACUGUCUGCCAGUCAUUCUGUUCUCCUUGGAAGACCAUCUGUUGCACUUCAAAUAUGUAAAGGUCUGCUAUCAUUUAUUGCUCCAAACAAAUCCACUCCUUUGUCUCAUGGGCUGGAGCUCCUGAAUGGGGACUAGAGGUGGUUUCGGUCACGGAGGGCAGGAUAUUCAGGAUGUUCCCUUUUGUUGCUCUGUAAGUGAAAGGUGCUCACUCAGCUCAAAUUUCAGAGCAUAAACAGUGAUUAAACUGAUUUCAGUGCUUUUGAAUAAUUUCAAUUUAUUUGGCAACAAAUUGUGAACAACAACAACAACAAUAAUCUGAAAUGUAGUUUCUGUUAACUCAGCCAGAAGCACACUGUAAGAUUUUUGCUUCUGGUGAACAAACCUUUCCAUUGUAGUGGUACCCAGACUUGAUACACACUGACAUUUGAAUUAACAUUAUGUUAUUUUAACUAAAUUGCUUAAUUAGCUUAUUUGUGGCUGAAACUAGUGAUUCAAAGAAACUUUCAGCAGUGAAAAAUAGGGUCAGCAGCUCAAAACAAGAACCUUUCUUCUGGUAGGUAAACACAUGUCCUUUACAGGGAUGUAACACUUGCCUGUACAGUCUUUAUUUAUGAGUUAACUGGGACCCUUUCCAUGAAUUAAAUGAGCAAGAUCAGGCAUCAAAUGAUGAUUUCUCUUUGUUUUUCCUGCUGCAGAUUUUAGAGAGGCUGUGCAACCCCUCCUCUCAGAUUGGAGAGCAUAAGCAUUGUAUUUUCACAGCAGAGAAGUUCUGUUCAGAGAUUUCCAGCCAGGGAAACACACAACAGUUUCUGUGUGAUUAGGGAGUGGUCCUGUCUUCUUCCCUUUUUUUUCCUCUGUCCCUUCUCCUCCCUGCAUAGCAGUUAAUGUUCUGGUCAGAAGGAAUAAUAUGUUGGAUCUUGAAUGUCAGUAGCCCCAGAGAUUCUGACAAGACUAUUCAUGUGCAUUCAUACGUCUUAACCAAAGCUGACACUAAAGAGAGCAAGAAUCCUCAUAUUCCUCUUUUUAUUGCUGUGCAUUACACUCAAAUCUUCUCUUGGAGACCUCUGCUGAAAAAUGACAUAUUCCCCAUUUGAAAAAGGCUUUCUGGCAGGGUCUAAACAAAGCAGCUGGACAUCAACGUGGCCCAGGGCAGAAAGCUCCCACAGUUUGGUUUACACCCCAGUUAUGGACGCCUACCAAAUGCUGGGAGAUAAAUCCUGAUGGGAAACAAACAGUAAUGUUUUUGUUGUCAUUUUUUAAUUUAAAAAUUAAGUGGUCUUCUAAUUUCUUGAAAUCUUAUAGGAAUACUUGGAUUCUGGUAACCUGAGGUGGAUGUUUUCUGAGAAACACCCCCUGUGUGAAUGUUCUGCUCUCCCAUUUACCCCAGACGUAUUUUACACAUACUUCUAGUACAGUUUACAGCACAUGUCUGGGUAAUUUUGCAGUGAUCUGAUCGUGUGGUUAAAGCCAGGUAGGCAAUUUUUACAGCAAUGAUAGUUUUAAUCUUCUUUUUUGUAAUUGUUUGAUAGCAGUGACUAACACAGCCUUGGUGGCUCUGGGCACCUCGCCAUUCUUAGGUAGUUUAAUUUGUUAAAAAUUAUCUUCCCUCCCACCCAAAUCCCCUUGAAACCACUUGGAGAGGAGAAGUGUUGAAUUGUUGCCAAUAAUAAGUCCUGCUGAGACCUCUGUAUCCUCCUGAUAGAACUGCUGGUGCCAACCAGGGACUGACUGGCACAGGUUUGAACUCUCCACUGCUUGAUAGAUCUGCUUCACAUGGACCAAUUACAACAAUUCCCACCUCUGGAGCUGAAGUCGAAGCCCUUGGUCUUCCCUUCAUACCUCAGGUUGUUGGCAAUGUGUUCAGUCCUACAAUCUCCAUUUUCUCUGAAUAAUUAAGUGGAACAUAAAUGCUUCGAAAAAGUAGGAGAGAGUCUGAAUGGAAAUCAAAGGCUGAAUAAUAUUGUUUUUCAUGUUGCUGUUGUUAAGCUGCAUUUCUUUCCAUUUAUUCUUUGUUUCUAAAAGGCAGCAUCUUCUUUUAAGUUUUUUACAGAGAUUCACCAGAAGGUGCUGUAGUCCAUUGACUGUUAUAUUCAACAGUAUCUUUUAAUGUGAAUGAAAGAGCAAUAGGAAUUCCUGCUUUUUUUUUUUUAAAUGGGUUUAAAAAUAUAAAUAUUCCUUUCAAAAUAAAUACUUUUGACCAAAGUGGAAAAUCA